AAUCAACGCUGGCGGCGUGCCUCAGACAUGCAAGUCGAACGAUUAAACUUUCCUUCGGGAAAGAUAUAAAGUGGCGCACGGGUGAGUAACACGUAGGUAAUGUACCUUUGGGUGGGGAAUAACUUAGGGAAACUUAAGCUAAUACCGCAUAAUGCAGCGGCUCCUUCGGGAGACAGUUGUUAAAGAUUUAUCGCCUAAAGAGCAGCCUGCGGCAGAUUAGCUAGUUGGUAAGGUAACGGCUUACCAAGGCGACGAUCUGUAUCCGACCUGAGAGGGUGGUCGGACACACUGACACUGAAUAACGGGUCAGACUCCUACGGGAGGCAGCAGUCGGGAAUUUUGGGCAAUGGGCGAAAGCCUGACCCAGCAACGCCGCGUGAA
rnacentral:rRNA from 1 species